rnacentral:rRNA from 2 species
GACGAACCACACAAACGUUAUUCGGAAUUACUGGGCUUAAAGGGUGCGUAGGCGGCGCGGAAAGUAGGGUGUGAAAUCCCUCGGCUCAACCGAGGAAUUGCGCCCUAAACUACCGUGCUCGAGGGAGAUAGAGGUGAGCGGAACUUAGGGUGGAGCGGUGAAAUGCGUUGAUAUCCUAAGGAACACCGGUGGCGAAAGCGGCUCACUGGAUCUUUUCUGACGCUGAGGCACGAAAGCUAGGGUAGCGAACGGG